CUCUCUCUCUCUCUCUCUCUCUUCCGCCGUCUCUUUCACGUUAUGUGUCGUUUCAGACGAAACUGGCGAGAGCUCGUACGUCAGUAUUUACGUGUGAAGUGUGGAAGUGGGAUGGAUCGGUGAAGCCACAAGUCUGAGAGGAGGCACAAAGCGAUUCAAACCGCAGAAGCUCCCUCGACUGUGCCAGGAGAUUAAAGGAAAACAGAUUACGCCGGACAGCAGGCAGAGGCUUAAACUGGACUCGCAGAAGAUUGGGAAGGUUAUUAACGAACUUCUUGGACUGUAUCUCCUACUGCUGCACAAAAGCUGCCACACAGUCCAAGCUGACAGCCGUUGUUAAUGUCAGUUCCUAAUGGCAAGAGGAGCCAGGACAACAUUCUAGAACAUUAUCCUGACCUAUGCUCUCACAUGGGCCAAAUCAUACCAACGUCGAUGUUAGAGGUAUGGAGGUUGCUGUAAUGAGUCUGUGGGAGGAUUUCAGCCAUCUUCCUGUUUGGUUCACGCGUGAAGCCGCGUACAAAGCUGGAGUGUGCACUAUUUGUUCUGUCAGGAUGGAACAAUGGAAAAAUGGGGUCAGAGGGCACCACGAAUCCAUUACGCUAGGCCGUCUCCAUGCUCAGCCGGUGCUGAGGGAUGAACAUAAAUCUGAGGAUGGCUUCUGCAGACACUGCAGAGGAAAACGAGAGAAAGACAGAAAGAGAGACAGACGGAAUGGACAGAUUUCUUGCUGGAGAUUUUAGAGUGCUGAGAGACAGAUAAAGAGUAAGACAUAGUGUGAAGCUGUGUGUGUGAGAGAGAGAGGGAGAGGGAGAGAGAGAAGGAACUGAGCUCUCAUGAGUAAUAUGGUACCUAGAGGACUGGUGACAAAAGCAGACACAGGCAUUCGUGUCACCAUGAGCCGAUUAGAGUCUCAGAGGAGAGGCUUAAACCUCCUCCAUCGCUCUCUCCUGACGCUUUCGCUCAUACACCAGCCCUGUUCUCAAGAGUAAACCUCUCGCUUCAUUCCUUUGUCUGCUACUGGAGGAAUUUAUUAUUCAUCUUUUUGGGUGUUUCAUGACACAGCACACAUUUAUCUGCGUUACAAAAUUCUCAAAUGAACAAAUACUCAAUCAAACCAGUUCUUGCAAACUUAAUUUCUUAAAUCAGCCCUAAAUGAUGAGUCACAUGGACUAACAAAUGAACCAAUGAACGAUCAGAUAACUAACACUUGAAUGUGUAAAAUCUCCAUAUUAUGUUUUGUCCUGAAAUGAAAGGAACAAUGUGAUUUUUACACAUGAUUUAUUUUUCCACAAUUCAUUUAUAUUUCUAUUAUUUCAGAUGAAUCAAUUAUUGCCUCAUGCUAUUUCCGCACGAUUUUUCUUAACAUUACUGUAUUAUUAUUUUCUUUUCCCUUGAUUAUUUUUUUACUUGUGAUUUUUGUACACGGUUCAUUUAUUUUCACAGAAUUUUACGCAUGAUUGCACAUGUGUUUGUUAUUAAACACCGCGACAUUCGCUUUCAAUUUCACAGUGAAUUUCACCUUGUCCUUUGCAUGAGAUCAUAAUAUUCCCAUUUAUCUGUUAGGGAACUUAAAGUAUACAUUUAAAAAAUUUUUUUUCAUGAACUUGCAUGUACGGUAUAUGAAUACAGACUCGAUCCAACAUUAAAUAUAGAAACGCACCAAAUAAAUACCUGAAGGAAUUUUUUUAACCUUCAUGUUCUUGUCACAGCCAUUAAAAUUGACAUUUGUUAUUCAUUUUUAGUAAUCUCAAGAAACCAAGACAAAAAAUAUGAAGAAUACAGAAUAACUGCUCUGCUUUAAAGUAUAUAGCAUUUUUUUUCCUUCACUUAAUUCAUGUGAAUUUUGCACACAGUUAAUUUAUUUUCACAGGAUUUCACAAGAAUUGAUUUCUAAUAGCUGUAAAUGAAAUGAAUAGCAAGAGGAAGCUCAUAAAACUAAAAUGUACUUAAGUACAAUAACACUUCCCAUCAUAAAAAAAAAGAAUAAACAGUCAGUCGCUGCAUAAAUACCUUUUUUUUUUUACAGAAUGUUCAAAAAAUCAGGGGUCUCCUUUAGAGGUGUGAGGCUUGGAGAUGUAAAGCAAGAACGAAUCUCAUCGAUCACAUCUGAUGAAGUGACAUUGAUCGACUUAUUGAUCCUCUCCAUCUGAGCCACUGUGGAAAGCUUUGUUCUCUCUUCAGUAAUCCAGUACUGUGUGUAUGUGUGUGUGUGUGUGUGUGUGUGUGUGUGUGUGUGUGUGUGUGUGUGUGUGUGUGUGUGUGUGUGUGUGUGUGUGUAGAGGGACAGGAUGUGCUGCCAUUUACUGCACCAACCAGUUUUCACUCAGUCACAAAUAUGAAUUGCAUUUCAGAGUAAAUCAAGUUCAGUGCAAAAGUUUGUGCACCCCUUAGGAAAA